AGACGAGGCCUUUCAGGCAUCCUCUCCCAAAGACUUUUAUAGGGCUGGUCCUCGGACCGGCCCUUUCUUUUUGUCCGG
rnacentral:sRNA from 1 species